rnacentral:lncRNA from 1 species
CUUUAUCUUCCUCAGUAAUUUUUUUCGUUGGUCUUCUCCGACUGAAUUUUUCGUUGAGUUUGAACCAAACAAUUAUGGAUUUUAUCAAAGAGAAUAAUGAACUUUCCAAUGGAAGCUUUACUAUUUUUAAUUUCUUCCUUAAAGCUUCUCUUUAAAAGCUUUAAGGGGAAAUGUUAAAGAUGCUUCCUUGGAGAUUUUUGGAGAAGAUUACUUCAUUGAAGAAGAACCCAACAAAGAAAGAGCAAAAAUUUUGAAGAAGGCGGGAUCCACAUAUAAAAUGAAUAAAUAAGAAAAUUUAAUUUUAUUAACAUUUUUUCAAUGAAAAAAUAAUUAAUCUAAUUGUAUAUAUUAAGAAGAAUAUUAGGAGUACUUAAUAAUAUAAUGACAAAUGAAAUAGUAA